rnacentral:rRNA from 1 species
CCUACGGGAGGCAGCAGUGAGGAAUAUUGGUCAAUGGACGAGAGUCUGAACCAGCCAAGUAGCGUGAAGGAUGACUGCCCUAUGGGUUGUAAACUUCUUUUAUAUGGGAAUAAAAUGUUCCACGUGUGGGAUUUUGUAUGUACCAUAUGAAUAAGGAUCGGCUAACUCCGUGCCAGCAGCCGCGGUAAUACGGAGGAUCCGAGCGUUAUCCGGAUUUAUUGGGUUUAAAGGGAGCGUAGGUGGAUUGGUAAGUCAGUUGUGAAAGUUUACGGCUCAACCGUAAAAUUGCAGUUGAAACUGGCAGGCUUGAGUACAGUAGAGGUGGGCGGAAUUCGUGGUGUAGCGGUGAAAUGCUUAGAUAUCACGAAGAACUCCGAUUGCGAAGGCAGCUCACUGGACUGCAACUGACACUGAGGCUCGAAAGUGUGGGUAUCAAACAGGAUUAGAUACCCUAGUAGUC